rnacentral:rRNA from 1 species
GACGAACGCUGGCGGCGUGCUUAACACAUGCAAGUCGAACGGAAAGGCCCUGCUUUUGUGGGGUGCUCGAGUGGCGAACGGGUGAGUAACACGUGAGUAACCUGCCCUUGACUUUGGGAUAACUUCAGGAAACUGGGGCUAAUACCGGAUAGGAGCUCCUGCUGCAUGGUGGGGGUUGGAAAGUUUCGGCGGUUGGGGAUGGACUCGCGGCUUAUCAGCUUGUUGGGGGGGUAGUGGCUUACCAAGGCUUUGACGGGUAGCCGGCCUGAGAGGGUGACCGGCCACAUUGGGACUGAGAUACGGCCCAGACUCCUACGGGAGGCAGCAGUGGGGAAUAUUGAACAAUGGGCGGAAGCCUGAUGCAGCAACGCCGCGUGCGGGAUGACGGCCUUCGGGUUGUAAACCGCUUUCGCCUGUGACGAAGCGUGAGUGACGGUAAUGGGUAAAGAAGCACCGGCUAACUACGUG